GAUAUUAGACAUCAGCGUAUCUGUGUGCGCAGGCAAAGAUAGCUUUACAGCGCGGCGAGUCAUUGAAGUUGCUCGCGCUGCUAGCGAAAGGAAACUACUUGCUGCAAUUUACAGGCUAUUUACAGUUUAAAUUACGUCUGCUUGUACAUGCCUUAAAUUGUGUAUUCACAAAUUACACAUUAAAUGAAUUAUCUGGAAUUGAUAACGGGAUUGAUCUGAAAAGUCGCCAGACAACAGCUGAAGGCAGAGGGAACGGAGAAAACAUACAACUGUCGGGAUGUUAACUCCACAUACAUGUGACAUUAUUGACUAGAACUUCAAGAGGAAAUUCAAUCAGUAGCUGACAUAGGAAACGUAAAUUUGACGAAUCGCUUUGACAGGGAGACAUAUUGCUCGAACAGUACCGAGGAAAAAAACAAUGGAGUUAAAACUAGGAAGUGUUAUGUUAUUAUUGUCGUGUAGUCUUCAGCAGUCACUCUGGGGAAUUUUAGCGUCAGUACCACAAACUACUGCGAAUAAAUGUAAAAAUAAAAUCAGUUCAGAGGGUGCACCAACACAGAGAGUCCAAAUGAUCCGAAGGAUACCAGCGCGAUGCUCCGGGUGGGACGAGGCAUGGUCCUGGAUUUCAAGCAAAGAUUGUAGAACUAAAUACAU